GCCUGGGUGGCUCGGUCGGUUAAGCGUCCGACUUCAGUUCAGGUCACCAUCAAACGGUUGGGUCCGUGGGUUCGAGCCCCACGUCAGGCU
rnacentral:tRNA from 1 species